rnacentral:rRNA from 1 species
UACGUAGGGGGCUAGCGUUGUCCGGAUUUAUUGGGCGUAAAGAGCGUGUAGGCGGCCAUGUAGGUCCGGUGUGAAAACUCGAGGCUUAACCUCGAGAUGUCAUCGGAAACCAUUUGGCUAGAGUCCGGAAGAGGAGAGUGGAAUUCCUGGUGUAGCGGUGAAAUGCGCAGAUAUCAGGAAGAACACCAAUGGCUAAAGCAGCUCUCUGGGACGGUACUGACGCUGAGACGCGAAAGCGUGGGGAGCAAACAGG